rnacentral:lncRNA from 1 species
GAGCAUCACAGCUCAAAAUUUUGCCUGUAUUCAUCUUCAUAGGUCUCCCUCAGAGAAAUUCACUGGAAAACCUGGGAAACAAUAGACCAGGUAAUCCUUAAGCCUAAUUUUCAGGGGGUGCGGUUGUAGCCUUCACCUGCCCAGCAGGAGGUCUUCCCCCAAAGACAGAUCCAGGACAUGGUGAGUAAUUUCUGUGUAGCCCUAAAUGUGGGCCUCCCUAAAAGCCCAGCUCUCAAGACAAACAAGGGAAACAAGACUGUACUGUAGGGAUUCCUCCAUCACAUACCAAUUUUCAUCAACAUAGUGGGGUUCCAGAGAUCCCCAGGGGGAAAUUCUCCUCAAAUGCCUGUAUAGAUCAUUCUCAGAAAAUAUCAAUUGCAAAUAUGGGGAAAUCUUAUAGAGAACAGAGUCCUCCACGCUAAGCCAGUUCUCAUCUACAAUUUGAGGGGCCAGAGCAUCACAGCUCAAAAUUUUCCCUACAUUCAACUGCACAUGUCUCCCUCAGAGAAAUUCAUUGGAAUGAAGUGUCAGCUGACUGACACUUGGCUUGAGGAAGGGGGUAAGUGAAGCAGCCCAGCAGGGGUCUCCCUCCCAAGCUAGAUCUUAGCCAUUGUGGUGGGUGUGGGAAGGGAUCUGGAGGGAGAAGACCACGGGUCUCCUUUCCAACACGGGCCUAAUUUUCAGAGGGUGAAGUAGAAAAACCCACAGCUGCACAGCAGGGGGUCCUCCUCCAAACACAGAUUCAGGACAUGGGUCCAGAGGAUCAAAGCUCAACAUUUUCCCUAUGUUCAUCUUCAAAGGCCUCCCUCAGACAAAUUCUUUGGAAAACGUUGGAAACAUUCAACAGAACAGGUGAUCCUCCCUAGUCAAGGAAGCUACCUGAUGCUUGGCUUGAAGAAGGGGGUAAAUGAAGCAGCCCAGCAGGGGUCUCCCUCCCAAGCUAGAUCUUAGCCAUUAUGGUGGGUAUGGGAAUGAAUGUGGAGGGACUUUUUACCAACACAAGCCUGAUUUGCAGAAGGUC